rnacentral:tRNA from 2 species
GGGGGUGUAGCUCAGUUGGGAGAGCAUCUGAUUUGCAUUCAGAAGGUCAUCGGUUCGAUCCCGUUCACCUCCACCA